AGGACGAACGCUGGCGGCGUGCUUAACACAUGCAAGUCGAGCGGAGAAUAUAGCAAUAUAUCUAGCGGCGGACGGGUGAGUAACGCGUGGGUAACCUGCCUUUUACAGGGGGAUAACACUGGGAAACUAGUGCUAAUACCGCAUAAAAUAGUGAAGUGGCAUCACUUUACUAUCAAAGGAGCAAUCCGGUAAAAGAUGGACCCGCGUCCGAUUAGCUAGUUGGAGGGGUAACGGCCCACCAAGGCGACGAUCGGUAGCCGAACUGAGAGGUUGAUCGGCCACAUUGGGACUGAGACACGGCCCAGACUCCUACGGGAGGCAGCAGUGGGGAAUAUUGCGCAAUUAGGGGGGAAACCCUGACGCAGCAACGCCGCGUGAAGGAUGAAGGUUUUCGGAUUGUAAACUUCUUUGAUUGGGGACGAUAAUGACGGUACCCAAAAAACAAGCCACGGCUAACUACGUGCCAGCAGCAGC
rnacentral:rRNA from 1 species